UCCUACGGGGGGCAGCAGUAGGGAAUCUUCCACAAUGGGCGAAAGCCUGAUGGAGCAACGCCGCGUGGGUGAAGAAGGUCUUCGGAUCGUAAAACCCUCUUGUUAGAGAAGAAAGUGCGUGAGAGUAACUGUUCACGUUUCGACGGUAUCUAACCAGAAAGCCACGGCUAACUACGUGCCAGCAGCCGCGGUAAUACGUAGGUGGCAAGCGUUAUCCGGAUUUAUUGGGCGUAAAGGGAACGCAGGCGGACUUUUAAGUCUGAUGUGAAAGCCUUCGGCUUAACCGGUGUAGUGCAUUGGAAACU
rnacentral:rRNA from 1 species